AACGUAGGACGCGAGCGUUAUCCGGAGUUACUGGGCGUAAAGGGUGGGCAGGCGGCCGUGUCAGAUGGGUGUGAAAUCUCCCGGCUCAACCGGGAGGGGCCACUCGUGACUGCACGGCUGGAGGGCAGCAGAGGCGCGUGGAAUUCCGGGUGUAGCGGUGGAAUGCGUAGAGAUCCGGAAGAACACCGGUGGCGAAGGCGGUCUGCUGGGCAGUAGCUGACACUGAGGCGCGACAGCGUGGGGAGCGAACAGG
rnacentral:rRNA from 1 species